CUUUUUUUUUUUUUUUUUUUUUUUUUUUUUUUUUUUUUUUUUUUUUUUUUUUUUUUUUUUUUUUUUUUUUUUUUUUUUUUUUUUUUUUUUUUUUUUUUUUUUUUUUUUUUUUUUUUUUUUUUUUUUUUUUUUUUUUUUUUUUUUUUUUUUUUUUUUUUUUUUUUUUUUUUUUUUUUUUUUUUAUUUUUUUUCUUUUUUUUUUAUUGUCUGUUUUUUUCUUUUAUCCUGUUUUUCUUCCUUUUCAAGAUCUUGAAAAGAGAGAGAAAAUGAGAGAGAGAGAAUGAGAAAGAGAAAACGAGGGAAAGAGAAUGAGAGCAAGAGAGAGAGAGAGGAGGAGAAAUUUUUGGAGUUUUUUUAUUUUUAGUGGCUUUGAUAUUGAAAAUACUAUAUAAAGAAUUUUAGAUGAAAUCAGUCAGUUGAUACAAUUAUUGUU
rnacentral:lncRNA from 1 species